UACGGAGGGUGCAAGCAUUAAUCGGAAUUAUUGGGCGUAAAGGGCGCGUAGGCGGGAGGAAAAGUCAGAUGUGAAAUUCCAAAGCUCAACUUUGGAGCUGCAUUUGAAACUUUCCAUCUUGAGGAUAGGCGGAGAAAAUGGAAUUCCACAAGUAGCGGUGAAAUGCGUAGAUAUGUGGAAGAACACCGGUGGCGAAAGCGGUUUUCUAGCUUAGACCUGACGCUGAGGCGCGAGAGCAAGGGGAG
rnacentral:rRNA from 1 species